rnacentral:tRNA from 1 species
GAGGGUACAGCUCGGCGGUAGAGCGCGUGCUUAGCAUGCAUGAAGUUCUGGGCUCAAUCCCCAGUACCUCCA